AGUGGUUAGUACAUCGGGUUAGGAUGACUGCCUGCCACGCAGAAGCUUCCGGGUUCAAUUCCCGGUGGGGUCACUC